CGUGUUUAUAUCAAAAUUUCCCUAUUAGCUAUUACGAAACCCUUAAGAAUAACGAACAAAAAUAUAAAUUCAAUAUUUCUAUUUUGGUAAUCCGUAAGAAAGAACUUGGGGGAACAAGUCAAUAAUAAUAACAUCCAAUACAUUAUUCCAUCCAAUACAUUAUAACAUCCAAUACAUCUACAAUACCAUAACUAUACUAUAUAAACAAUAGCCGGUCAAACCGGGUGAUGCUCCCCAAAUAGGUUUUGGACACAGGAAGGUAUACCUCUUGUAGUGUCAGAGUUAUGUCACAGAGAAUAUUCAAAGUGUAAAAAUAACCCAAAUGUUGUGUACCACACAUUGUCUCAAUAUGGUGAUCAUUUUUGUGAAAUAGUUGUAAAAUCCAACUUAAAAUAACGAAAUUAUGGGCGGAACAUGAUUUUGCUGCAAGGUAAUGCUGUGACCUUGACCUUCAAGGUAGCAACCAAAAUGCUGCAUGCGGCACGUCAAUUUAAUAUGAAAGCAACCCAAAUAACGCGCUUGACACGUCGUCUCAAUAUGGAAAUCAUUUUUGUGAAAUAUUUUUAAAAUCCAACUUCAAAUAACGAAGUAAUGGGCCGGACACGAUUCUGCUGCAAGAUCAUGCUGUGACCGUGACCUUCAAGUAAGCGACCCAAUGUUGCGCCGACACAUUAUCUCAAUAUGUUGAUAAUUUCUGUGAAAUAUUUUUAAAUCUGACUUCAAAUAACAAAGUUAUGGGCUGGACGCGAUUUUGCUGCAAGGUCAUGCUGUGACCUUGACCUUCAAGGAAAUAACCCAAAUGUUGGCGCGAGAUGUCAG